UACGGAGGGGGCUAGCGUUGUUCGGAAUUACUGGGCGUAAAGCGUGCGCAGGCGGUUUUGUAAGUCUGACGUGAAAUCCCCGGGCUCAACCUGGGAAUUGCGUUGGAGACUGCAAGGCUAGAAUCUGGCAGAGGGGGGUAGAAUUCCACGUGUAGCAGUGAAAUGCGUAGAUAUGUGGAGGAACACCGAUGGCGAAGGCAGCCCCCCUGGGUCAAGAUUGACGCUCAUGCACGAAAGCGUGGGGAGCAAACGAGG
rnacentral:rRNA from 1 species